rnacentral:rRNA from 1 species
UACGUAGGGGGCAAGCGUUGUCCGGAUUUAUUGGGCGUAAAGCGCGUGUAGGUGGCCAAGUAGGUCCGCUGUGAAAACUUGAGGCUCAACCUCAAGCUGUCGGCGGAAACCCCUUGGCUAGAGUCCGGAAGAGGAGAGUGGAAAUUCCUGGCGUAGCGGGUGAAAUGCGCAGAUAUCAGGAAGAACACCAAUGGCGAAGGCAGCUCUCUGGGACGGUACUGACACUGAGACGCGAAAGCGUGGGGAGCGAACAGG